rnacentral:lncRNA from 1 species
GGACAUUCUGUAACACAAUAUAUCAUUGUUAGUUACCAAGAGUUCUGAGCUCUUUGAAGGAAAGAUUCAAGUCCAAAAAACAAAUAACAAUGGAACAGGGAAGUCUCACUCAUUACUCUGGAGGCAGAAGAGCUAUUGAAUGAAAAAUUUAUUCCUCAUGAUUGGGAUGCUCUGUCUCUUCAUUUCAGCCCCUCAGAAUUCCUGUCUCCAGGUAAGGCUCAGCUCAAGUGCAACCUCUGAAUAACUGAACAAUUAUUACUCAUCAUAAUAG